GAGGAUGCGAGCGUUAUCCGGAUUUAUUGGGUUUAAAGGGUGCGUAGGCGGCAUGUCAAGUCAGCGGUAAAAGCCCGGGGCUCAACCCCGGCCCGCCGUUGAAACUGAUGAGCUAGAGACGCGGAGAGGUAGGCGGAAUGCGCAGUGUAGCGGUGAAAUGCAUAGAUAUUGCGCAGAACUCCGAUUGCGAAGGCAGCCUACUGGUCGCGGACUGACGCUGAGGCACGAAAGCGUGGGGAUCGAAC
rnacentral:rRNA from 1 species